ensembl:lncRNA
GAGAAACACGAGGGUGUAGAGAAGAGCAGAGUCGUACAGAUAGUGAGAGACAAACCAUAUAGCCUGCCGUUUAAUGUGUAUUUUAUAUACAUAGGACUGUGAACUGUUUUCCUUAUUACGCUACGAGUGUGAGUCGUCACCGUUUACUGAUGACAAAGUGUGGUUUCGUCGGACUGAAGCAACUAGCCAGCUUAGCUAAAACGCCGCAAUCGCCGGAGAUACGACGGUUGCAUUCUUCGCCCGCACGGACGGACCGGAGCGGAGACUGGUUGGGAGAGGUUUCGGAGGUCGACGCGGAUGUGUUGCUAUGGGUGGACUGCUGUUCAUCGCUUCUGUGCGGAGUGACACGGGUCUGGAAAGAGGACGCGAUUUAAAGAGAACAUAUACCCCCUUGCCAUGAAGACUCUCUUUUCUCUUGAUAUCUGAAGAUGUGUAGCAGACAGAAUUAAGUCUCAGGAUAAAGAUGCCAAAAGGUUGUUCUUGCAUAUCAACACAUGGGGACUACUGUCUUCAAUAUUCAGGAGCAAUGCACAGAGAGACCUGGCCCCUAUUUCAGGAAUACUUUAUUCUGGAACUUUUUACUUGACAACAUUAAGAACUGUAUUGACAUCUCUAAACAGAAUAACAAGAAGACACUGCCUUGACUAUUUACAUCAUAGACCCCUAUGCCUGUUAGUUGAUUCUAAUGAUUUAAGUUCCAAUGCCCAUAGUUGUGAUGAGUGUUGAUUCUGUGUGGCCAGUGCAUAUUGCUAAAAAUCAGAAGUAGUUGUGUGAGUCAUUAAAUACACCAUCAUGAGAUUUAAAUGAGCGGUCUCUAAUUUGGAAAGGAUUGGGGAAUGCAAGAGCUUCUCUGUUUCAAUGUCACUGAGCAGAAACCUCUGCAAAGUUCUUGUUCACCAUCCAAAGGGCCAAUGACUCAAACAUGUAUGUCCAGGAAGUUGGCUUGUGUGAUGAUGAUCCUCUUAACCUGUAGAGGAAUGUACAGUUGCUGGUCAUAAAAUUUUGAAUAUCAUCAAAAAGUAGAUUUAUUUCAGUCAUUCCAUUCAAAAAGUGAAACUUGUAUUGUCAUUGGCCAGAUUCAUGGAUGACAGUCAGAUUAAUCCAAUCAUGCUCAAAGCAUUACAGUGGACCAACACCAGCAGAUGACAUGGCACCCCAAACCAUCACAGACUGUGCUUGAAGUCCAGUGUAAAGUUUCCAAUGUGGAUUCUGUGCCUCUCCUCUCUUCCUCCAGACUCUGGGACCUUGAUUUCCAAAGGAAAUGCAAAAUAUACUUUCAUCAGAGAACAUAACUCAGCAGCAGUCCAGUCCUUUUUGUAUUUAGCCCAGGUGAGACGCUUCUGACGCUGUGUCUUGUUCAACAGUGGCUUGACACUAGGAAUGCGACAGCUGAAACCCAUGUCUUGCAUACGUCUGUGCGUGGUGGUUCUUGAAGCACUGACUCCAGCUGCAGUCCACUCUUUGUGAAUCUCCCCCACGUUUUUGAAUGGGUUUUUUACAAUCUUUUCCAGGGUGCGGUUAUCCCUAUUGCUUGUAUACUUUUUUCUAUCACAUCUUUUCCUUCCCUUCACCUCUCUAUUAAUGUGCUUGGACAUUGAGCUCUGUGAACAGCCAGCCUCUUUAGCUAUGACCUUUUGUGUCUUGCCCUCCUUGUGCAAGUUGUCAAUGGUCAUCUUUUGGAUAGCUGUCAAGUCAGCAGUCUUCCCCAUGAUUGUGUUGCCUACAGAACUAGACUGAGACCAUUUAAAGGCCUUUGCAGGUGUUUUGGGUUAAUUAGCUGAUUAGAGUGUGGCACCAGGGGUCUUCAAUAUUGAACCUUUUCACAAUAUUCUAAUUAUGAGAUACUGAAUUUGGGUUUUUCAUUAGUUGUCAGUUAU